UACGGAGGGGCUAGCGUUGUUCGGAAUUACUGGGCGUAAAGCGCGCGUAGGCGGCUUUGUAAGUUAGAGGUGAAAGCCCGGAGCUCAACUCCGGAAUUGCCUUUAAGACUGCAUCGCUAGAAUCAUGGAGAGGUGAGUGGAAAUUCCGAGUGUAGAGGUGAAAUUCGUAGAUAUUCGGAAGAACACCAGUGGCGGAAGGCGACUCACUGGACAUGUAUUGACGCUGAGGUGGCGAAAGCGUGGG
rnacentral:rRNA from 1 species